rfam:Schistosoma rodhaini strain Burundi genome assembly, scaffold: SROB_scaffold0000138
AUCUAGCUAACGAGUCUCAAAUAGAACUGAAACGCGCGUCAAACUAGAU